rnacentral:rRNA from 1 species
GGAUAACUCCGGGAAACCGGAGCUAAUACCGGAUAGUUCCUUGAACCGCAUGGUUCAAGGAUGAAAGACGGUUUCGGCUGUCACUUACAGAUGGACCCGCGGCGCAUUAGCUAGUUGGUGAGGUAACGGCUCACCAAGGCGACGAUGCGUAGCCGACCUGAGAGGGUGAUCGGCCACACUGGGACUGAGACACGGCCCAGACUCCUACGGGAGGCAGCAGUAGGGAAUCUUCCGCAAUGGACGAAAGUCUGACGGAGCAACGCCGCGUGAGUGAUGAAGGUUUUCGGAUCGUAAAGCUCUGUUGUUAGGGAAGAACAAGUGCAAGAGUAACUGCUUGCACCUUGACGGUACCUAACCAGAAAGCCACGGCUAACUACGUGCCAGCAGCCGCGGUAAUACGUAGGUGGCAAGCGUUGUCCGGAAUUAUUGGGCGUAAAGGGCUCGCAGGCGGUUUCUUAAGUCUGAUGUGAAAGCCCCCGGCUCAACCGGGGAGGGUCAUUGGAAACUGGGAAACUUGAGUGCAGAAGAGGAGAGUGGAAUUCCACGUGUAGCGGUGAAAUGCGUAGAGAUGUGGAGGAACACCAGUGGCGAAGGCGACUCUCUGGUCUGUAACUGACGCUGAGGAGCGAAAGCGUGGGGAGCGAACAGGAUUAUAUACCCUGGUAGUCCACGCCGUAAACGAUGAGUGCUAAGUGUUAGGGGGUUUCCGCCCCUUU